AUUGAACGCUGGCGGCAGGCCUAACACAUGCAAGUCGAGCGGAUGAAGGGAGCUUGCUCCUGGAUUCAGCGGCGGACGGGUGAGUAAUGCCUAGGAAUCUGCCUGGCAGUGGGGGAUAACGUCCGGAAACGGGCGCUAAUACCGCAUACGUCCUGAGGGAGAAAGUGGGGGAUCUUCGGACCUCACGCUAUCAGAUGAGCCUAGGACGGAUUAGCUAGUUGGUGGGGUAAAGGCCUACCAAGGCGACGAUCCGUAACUGGUCUGAGAGGAUGAUCAGUCACACUGGAACUGAGACACGGUCCAGACUCCUACGGGAGGCAGCAGUGGGGAAUAUUGGACAAUGGGCGAAAGCCUGAUCCAGCCAUGCCGCGUGUGUGAAGAAGGUCUUCGGAUUGUAAAGCACUUUAAGUUGGGAGGAAGGGCAGUAAGUUAAUACCUUGCUGUUUUGACGUUACCAACAGAAUAAGCACCGGCUAACUUCGUG
rnacentral:rRNA from 1 species